rnacentral:rRNA from 1 species
CUACGGGCCGCACCAGUGGGGAAUCUUGCGCAAUGGGCGAAAGCCUGACGCAGCAACGCCGCGUGCGGGAUGAAGGCCUUCGGGCUGUAAACCGCUUUCAGCAGGAACGAAAAUGACGGUACCUGCAGAAGAAGGAGCGGCCAACUACGUGCCAGCAGCCGCGGUGACACGUAGGCUCCAAGCGUUGUCCGGAUUUAUUGGGCGUAAAGAGCUCGUAGGCGGUUGAGUAAGUCGGGUGUGAAAACUCUGGGCUUAACCCGGAGACGCCAUCCGAUACUGCUCUGACUAGAGUUCAGGAGGGGAGUGGGGAAUUCCUAGUGUAGCGGUGAAAUGCGCAGAUAUUAGGAGGAACACCGGUGGCGAAGGCGCCACUCUGGACUGAAACUGACGCUGAGGAGCGAAAGCACGGGUAGCAAACAGGAUUAGAUACCCGGGUAGUC